ACAGGUGCUCAGCAUAUGUGGGAACUUCUUCAAGACAGUCGUAAAAGCAUUCCAGGUUCCCCAUCCCAUCCAUCCAUUUGUCUACCAGCUAGCAGAGUCAGCAGACUACUGGUAUCCCUGUACUGGUGUCGCUCAUUUGGCCCAUUAUCCCCUGAGUAUGCGGUUCUGUACCUUUCUGACUCUGCCCUGGAUUACUGACCUCUGCCUGCCCUUGACCUGUCGUUUGCCUGCCCCGUUUUGUCAAUAAACAUCUGUGAUUUGAA